GACGAACGCUGGCGGCGUGCUUAACACAUGCAAGUCGAACGGAAAGGCCCUGCUUUUGUGGGGUGCCCGAGUGGCGAACGGGUGAGUAACACGUGAGUAACCUGCCCUUGACUUUGGGAUAACUUCAGGAAACUGGGGCUAAUACCGGAUAGGAGCUCCUGCUGCAUGGUGGGGGUUGGAAAGUUUCGGCGGUUGGGGAUGGACGCGCGGCUGAUCAGCUUGCUGGUGGGGUAGUGGCUUACCAAGGCUUUGACGGGUAGCCGGCCUGGGAGGGUGACCGGCCACAUUGGGACUGCGAUACGGACCAGACUCCUACGGGAGGCAGCAGUGGGGAAUCUUGCACAAUGGGCGGAAGCCUGAUGCAGCAACGCCGCGUGCGGGAUGACGGCCUUCGGGUUGUAAACCGCUUUCGCCUGUGACGAAGCGUGAGUGACGGUAAUGGGUAAAGAAGCACCGGCUAACUACGUG
rnacentral:rRNA from 1 species